CUCCCUCCCGCUGUACCAUCUUCGUCGUAGAUUAAUUCCUGGGUUUACAUGUUUUUAGAAUGAAAUAUUUCGGUUUGUUGGUUUUCGUUGCACGUGGCGUACGACGCUGGUGAAUAUUGCAACGUGUCGUUGUCAUUACACGCUUACCCCCCUUCCCGAAUGGAAAUUCCGUUGACUUGUCAAUGCCAAAAAUUCAAUGUUUUCACGCUCGAAAGCUUGUCGGGUUUUCGACGCUAUAAACAAUUCUGGAUGAAUGUUCUUUUAUAUGCGUAUUAAAUGAGAAUUUAUUGUUUCGCUGGAAGCUUCGGAAUUAAUUGUUUUCAAUUUGCUCCGGUUUAAUGGUCUGAUUUAAAAAAAGUAUUACGAGCGUGUAGUUUGAAUUAUUCGUGUGUUUGAUUGAUUGUCGGUAUGCAUUUAUUAAAUAUAUUAUGAUUUAUGUGAAUGCAGUGAAUUAAUAUGUGUAUUUUACAUUCUUUUUCAGGAUUAAAGUAAAUGUAAAUUAAUCAUGACUAGAGUGCAAUUGAUCCCACAGCUUGAUUAUUUAUGUUAUUUUUACAAUUUUGUUGUCUAAUUACUGUUUUACACUAUCUUUAUUCUGCGUAUUUAUGUUUAUUUUCUGUGAGCAAGUGCAGCAACUUUUGGAGACCACUGUUAGGAAAAUGAUCGUGUUCAAAUUUAAUGUCUGUUGUUAUUUUUCUAUCUGAACAAUUGUUGAAAUGUACUUAAUUAAUUUCUAUUAUAACUGAUUUACAGUUGUUACGUGUAAUUGCCAGUGCAACUGACACUCGUAUGAUUAGUCAUACAAUAUUUUUUGAAAUUUAUUGGUAGCGAUUAAGAUAUAUAAUUUCCUAUAAAAUAAAGAAACAUAAAUUGGCGAGUUAAAUACUGUAUUACAAUAAGUUAUUUUAUGAUGGAAGGAAUAAAUAAUUCAUCAGAGCAAUUUGUGAAAUAAGCAUCUGGGUACAAUAUAACAAGGCUACGGAAAGACACACAAGGAUGCAGCAAGUGUUCGUACUACGCAUUCAAUUCCAGCAGCGUGUGGUCUCUACUAUUUUGAAGUGAAGAUCAUCAGUAAAGGUAGAGAUGGGUAUAUGGGAAUCGGUCUCUCUGCACAUGGAGUCAAUGUGAACAGGCUGCCAGGUUGGGACAAACAUUCGUACGGAUACCAUGGUGACGAUGGGCACAGUUUCUGUUCUUCUGGAACGGGUCAACCUUAUGGGCCAACAUUCACUACUGGCGAUGUAAUUGGUUGCGGUGUGAAUCUUGUCAAUAAUACUGCCUUUUAUACAAAGAAUGGACACCAUCUUGGUAUCGCAUUCACCGAUCUUCCGCCAAAUUUAUAUCCAACAGUGGGACUUCAAACACCAGGAGAAGUAGUAGAUGCAAAUUUCGGGCAAGAACCGUUUGUCUUUGAUAUCGACGAUAUGCUUAACGAACUUCGUGUUAAAACAAGAUUGCAAAUUAUAAAUUAUCCCACACCAGAUCACGGACAGGGCCAGUGGCAAGCAGUUCUCCACAAAAUGGUAUCAACAUAUUUAGUCCAUCACGGUUAUUGUGCCACUGCCGAGGUCUUUGCUAAUAGUACUGGUCAAGUGUUCGAGGAAGAUUUUAACUCCAUAAAAAAUAGACAAAGAAUUCUAAAAUUGGUACUAGCAGGCAGAAUGGGAGAGGCCAUAGAGUUAACGAGUCGACUGUACCCAGGUCUCCUUGAGAGAGACUCAAACCUUCUUUUCGCUUUAAAGUGUCGACAGUUCGUUGAGAUGGUGAACGGUAGUGAUUCUGAGGUCUGUCAGAAUUCCAAUGUUAAUCAAACUAGUGUUAUACAGUCUACAAAAGCUUAUACAAAGUCGUCUACAAAUGGUACUGUCGAGGAGAUGAACAUUAGUAAUGCAAUCAAUGGUUCUACCGAGCAGCAGUUUAUUAACGGGCAAAUUGAGGAUGAUGUAGAUAUGGAAGAGAAUAUUGUAAAUGGCGUGAGAAACAAUAAUGGCUAUCAAAAUGGUGAUUUGAGCACGAAUGGAUACAAGUGUCAGAACGGAGAGGAUGUUGAUAUGGAAGUGGACAAUACUAAUCAAACACAGCAACAACAGAACGGCAGUUGUAGUCCAGAAAACACGUUGAACAAGGGUAACAAGAAACAGCUUUGCGGCGGCGAUAAGCAAGCGAUCGAGAAAAUGUUGGAAUUCGGCAGGCAACUUUACUCUCAGUCGAUACAUUUACGGCAGCAGCAUGGAAAAAGUGAGAGCAAUAAAAAAAUGCUUCAAGACGCGUUCAGUCUGCUCGCUUACGCGAACCCAUGGAAUUCACCGGUUGGAUGGCAGCUCGAUCCCCAAGAAAGGGAAACCGUUUGCGCAAGACUCAAUUCCGCCAUACUUGAAUCGAGUAACUUGCCACGACGACCACCAUUAGAAGUCGCGGCGUCGCAUGCAAAGGAACUCGUACGGCUUAUGUCUCGUGCUGGUCUUGGGGCUUGCGGCUUCGCAGAUGUAGACAAUAUCAUCCAAUAUUGACGGUGCCUACCCCUGCUGCCACGUCUGCUUCUUCUGCCGGCACGAGUUUGGAUGUGGAAACGGAAUUCAGCUAGAGUCUGUUCUACCGGCAGUUGGCUCUCUGGCUCGAUCUCACACGUACACCUAAACACAAACGAAUACAUGUACACGCUCGCGGAACUCACCAAAAAGUACACACUGUUAUGGCAACGGGGAUGGGUGCGAGGAUGAUAAUUAAGCUGGCAUUAACGGUCAAGUUUGUCGAUCGCUGUACGUGUACGCGGCUGAAUUUUAAGCAGCAUAGUCUGGCAAAAUGCAAGGAUCACGUUUCGAUUACGAUCAUACUGUAUAAGUACGGGAAUGUAAGAGUAUAAAGUUCGAAAGGGCGGUGUUCGAAGUCGAGAUCAAAACGAAGGAUGAAGUGAUUGAGCGAUGAGUAUAACGUGAAUGAUAAUUCAGAUCGCAACAUUUCAAUACACGGAAAUUUUUCAUUGACAGUGUAGACGGAUAAAGUACUGCAGGUGUUCCUCUCGGCGAGAUAUAAGGUUGCUGAUUCUAGCUUAAGAGUGUAACAGACGAGAAACAAGGUUGAAGAUGACAAGAAGAUACGAAUACAGUGAAGAAUGAUGUUUCAACACCUACCAACCAAAAUCACCCUUUUCUCGUUUCCUCUUCUUAACUCGGAAGUUUACCACAAUCUCAAGGUUGUUCCCUCGCUCCUUUCAUCUACCAAGCAGAGACCCAUCAUCCUGACCAUAAAACCACCGCUUUCCUCAGGUACGUUUCCAAUCUGGUGUAUUUUUAUUUCAAAAUUCAACUCUUUCUUUGUUGCCAUUGUCUCGUUUCACGGUUAUUACCUUCACUGUACCAGCAAUGAUAAAAACUUCUCUUUCGGAGUCUGUCAAAAAUGAAUCUUGUCAACGAUUGUCCGGUUUCAUCGCAUAUCUUAGACGUUGCUUAACGUUUUAUGGUAACAUCACGUGUCAUCUCGUUAAGUUUGAUCCAAGAAGAAAUUUUAGUUUUAUUUAUUCGUAAUUUCGCUCCGAAUCUCGUGUCGGCUUUCAUCACUAUUACACGCAUACACGCAAACACACGUCCCCCCUCCCCCUCUUCUAUCAUACCACUUCCCCUCAUCGUAGCCUGAUUUUCUCCUCACUUGCUUUUAAAGGGAAAAUUUUCGAAAUGUCCCUGGUCAUCCUUCAUCGGAGUCACUUUUUUAUCGAAUGAAAAAGUAAGGAAAAUCAACGGGAAAAGUCUCGUCGAUAAUUAUUACAUUAUUAAUCCCCGUCGAGUAUUCUGGGUAGCCUUUCUAAUCGUGUCGUCAACGAGUCGAUUUUUGUAUCAAUUGUUAGCUUUUAAAGCGUAAAAGGAAGAAGACGGUAAAAUAAAUAUAAAAGAAUAUUCUUCGAUUACUUGUCAUUAUUGUAUAAUUAACGUAGAGCGAUAAAGGUACCGUUUCAUAGAUGAUACCGUUUAAAUUUCGUUUUACUUUCGAUCACAUAAUCGAUAAAUAACGACGAAGCAAUAAUUAUAAUUUUUAAACGAUCUUUUCUCUUUCUGCCUCUUUUUCUUUGGUAAUUCCAUUUUCUUUCUCUCUCUCUAUCUCUAUCUCUGUCUCUCUUUCUCUUUUUUUAAUACAAAUUUUUACUAUUUUCUAUUGUUACUAAUAUGCUUUCGAGUCCGUCGAUCGGAUGUUUCCUUUUUUUUUAUCUGUCAAGUUAAUCGUAAUCGUCACCGAGCAACUGUUACGUUCUUCCGUUCGAUUUUUCAUUUUGUUUAAGGGAAAAAAAAUGAAGUAUAUAUAUAAAUAUAUAAAUAUAUUGUGCGUUAGUGAUUAUACCGUGUGAUUACGAGGAACUUCAUGAACGAUCGAGUGAUGAAGUCGAAAACUUGAUGAUCCUGAAUGAUUGUAAAAACAAACAAAGUCGAAUAUUAUGACAGUUAUACAAUAAUAAUAAAAGUUGCAUAAUUAAAGAGAACGUUGUAAAAUAAGCGGUGUUUUAUAUUUCUGUCUUUUUCUUCUGUUACGUUUUUGGAACGCCUAUUGUCUUCGCCGAGGAGUUUCGAUUUUAUUUUAGCGUAUUCCAAUAGAGUGGCGACGAGCUUUCGUAGAUUCGUUCGUUUUCAAUAGAUUCGUGACAUUUUUUAUAGGCGACGUGGUACGAGAUUUCGUUCACGUUCUUUUAAGGUGUACAAUUCAAUCGAGAAGUGACCAAACUUUUGCUUUUUGAUGAAGCAGUUUAACCAGAUUUCCUUUCUAUAAAUAAUUCAGAGAAUUCAAAUUGGGCAAAAAUUAGUUUUCUUUAACGACUCUUGCAUUUCAGUUGCACAUGAUGAUCUAAAACUUUAGGUGACUGGCACAGAUCACGAAACGAGGAUUUUGUUCAUUGAAACAAACAUUUAUUGUAUAAAAAAAAAAGCAAAUUUUUGGUGACCGAAUGACGGAAUGACGAAGAAGAAUUUGAAAUGAAACGGUGACGUAAGGAAGCACGAUAUGUGUAUAAUAAUAAUAAUAUUAAUAAUAAUAACUAACAGUACUAAUACUAACGACGAGGAUGAUACAAAAAUGACACUCAAUUAAUUAAAAUGAGCAGAUUAAUAAUAAAAAGGAAUAUAUACACGUAUAUACAUAACUAUAUAUACGUAUUUAUAUGUGUGCGUGUGUACGCAUACGUUUGUGUACUUACGUACGCGUACAUCUAUGUAUAUGUACGAAACAAUCUUGUAUUCUACAAUAAGUAAUUGUUUUUUAUAUGCGAUAUAGUGUAUUAUUAUUAUAAUACGUCAUACGUAUACGUAUGUAUGUAUAUAUGCAUAUGUAUAUAUAUAUAUGUGCGUGUGUACGUAUGCAUCUAUGUAGAGGUAUAUAUAAACAUGUAUAUGUGUAUAAAUGAAAAAAAAAGCAAAGGAAGUAAUCGUAUGAUUAGCGUACGCGUGAGGUUUAAGCUAAAUUUUCAUUAUUUUACGUGUGUGUAUAUUUAUUGGCACAUAUAUCGGUAUGUCUAUAUGUGUGUACUUUUUCGUACAGAAUAGGAUGCGUCACAGUAUGUGUUUGAGUGUCAUUAAUCAAAAAUUGUUCAGUGUUGCAUCAAAUUGUUUUUCGUUCUUUCUUUUUCAAAUUCAAAUCUUCGUUGGAACGAUUGUCGCUCGUGUCAGUAUUUCUUCUAAAUAUUAUCAGUAGUGCCACAUGGUGCCACAUUAGAAAAUGGUACUCCAGUAUCAUGGUGUACUAUAUUAUACUAUGUAUACCAAAAUGGUAUUGUACUAUUGCAGCACCAUUGGUACCAUAUGCUUUACAAUGGUAUCAGUGAUGCACAUGUGAUAGAAUGAUACCCUAGCACUGUGAUAUCGUUGGUAUUCUGUCUACUAGAAUGGUACCCUGUCCCUGUAUUACCAUUGGUACCCAUGAUUAGAAUGGUACCUUAUCACAGUGGUAUCAUUGGUACUCUAAUAUAGUGGAACAGUAUUUCAUCAUUGUGAUAUCACUAAUACUCUAGUAUAGUAGAAUUGACUCAACAAUUAUAAUGUCACUGGCACCCAUGUACUAUAGGGGAUCUCUAUUAUUGUGACACCAUUAGUAGCUCACUAUUAAUAUGGUAGUCUGAGGUGAACUAAAUUGUUUCCAGUAAUGGGUAAUUGAUAAAAAUAGAAUGCACAGGUUCAUGCCCUUUUGAUAUCUAAUUGAAUAGUCUAUAAUUUUCACUUCUCAUAGAUACAUCUCUCCUUCCUUUCUUCUGGUUUCCAAAUGCCCAGGAAAAUCUUUGCUGCCACAGUGAAUAGUUUUGGAAAAGACAGCAUAUGACACUUUAUGUGACUCAUCCUCUAUAUACAGACAUAGAAUAUGUGUGUAUAAAUGUUGAAAAGGGUGUGUGCAUGAGUGGGUGUAUGAAUUCAUUGAUUCCAACAGGUAUUCAAUGGAGAUACUUAACGAUUUUUAGUGUUAAUCGUUUUUCUGUACUAUAG